rnacentral:rRNA from 1 species
CAAUAGCGUAUAUUAAUGUUGCUGCAGUUAAAAAGCUCGUAGUUGGAUUUCUGGUAGAUUGCAGCUGGCCCGCCUCUUAUGAGUGUGUGUGUCGGCGCGCAUCUGCCAUCUGGUCAGGGAACGUUUCUGGUCUUCAUUGAUUGGAUUCGCGAACUGGCACAUUUACUUUGAAAAAUUAGAGUGUUUAAAGCAGGCUUUUGCUAUGAAUACAUUAGCAUGGAAUAAUAACUUAGGGCUUUGGUUCUAUUUUGUUGGUUUCUAGUACUGAAGUAAUGAUUGAUAGGGAUAGUUGGGGGUGCUAGUAUUGAGCGGCCAGAGGUGAAAUUCUUGGAUUCGCUCAAGACUAACUUAUGCGAAAGCAUUCACCAAGGAUGUCUUCUUUAAUCAAGAACGAAAGUUGGGGGAUCGAAGACGAUCAGAUACCGU